GUAAUCCUGCACUAUCCUAAAUGACAGGACAUAAUCAUACUAUAAUCCAAAUUCUGGAGUUCUUCACCAUUAACUGCCUUCACAUUACAGUGUUUCACACAAACACAUACUCAUUCUCUUUGCUGAACUACAAUCAGAUUUCAGCAUUCAAUCUUUCUUCUUUCCAUUUAAUAACAAUCAUACUUCCAUUCCAUAAUUCACUUUCACAAUAUUCAGAAACU
rnacentral:lncRNA from 1 species